UUUUUUUUUUUUUUUGAGACAGUGCCUUGCUCUGCUGCUGCCCAGGCUGAGUGCAAUGGCAUGAUCUCGGCUCACUGCAACCUCUUGCCUCCCUGGGCUCAGGCCAGGUGUAUGCUACCACUCUCAGCUAAUUUUUAAUUUAAUUUUUUAGAGAUACAAUCUCUGUUUCCCAGGCUGGUCUUGGAAAUCUUGGACUCAGGCAGUCCUCCUGCCAUGGCCUCCCAAAGUGCUGGGAUUAUAGGCAUCAGCCACCAUGCUCAGCUUGUUCUGCCAUUUUCAAAUGUGAAUUUUAUAGACACUUCAAACCACUUGAAAGAGUGAUGAUGUUUUAAUGGUUUUCAUUAUUAUUUGCAACUUCAAGCAUUAAACACUGCCAAAUUAAGUUUCAAGUUUUCUCUUUACACAAUAUGGAUGUACUUCAUAAUGGACUUCCUCAUCAUGAUUAAUGAGUGAAGUGACAUUCAAACUUGGUAGCUUUUCAGUAGAACUUCCUUUCCCAACAUUUUUUCUGUCCCUUUAAUUAUGGCAAUAUCUGAGAGCUCUGAACAUAAGUCAAAGGUUUGAUUAUUUUUCAUGUGGCUUCCUCUGCCUGGAACUUUUUGCCCCGCAUCUUCCCGUUGCCCCCUGUGUCCUCUUGUCAUGCCCCUACCCUUUUUUGAGUGUUUCUAUUUUCUGGCAGUGCAAGACAUAACAGGCUCAUGUUGUGUUUUCCCUACCCUGACCCAGAAUCAGCCAUUACUUCAAGGACCCCUGGUUCCAUUAUUGGAGAAUGCUAUUAGAAACCAGGAUCUGGUGCUAGGCAUGCUCAUUUCUAUUGGAAUGCCAUACAAAUAAUUUGUGAAUUGUUUGUAGGUCCUCCCAGUGGAUAGGAUUAGGAAAUAAAACAUGCGUACUAACCACACAUACACACAUAUCUACAUCUAUUUCUGUAUCUGUAUACAUAUUAAACAUGAGUUGAUAACUAAUGUUUCUGCUCUAAUAGCCUUCAUCCUAGCCUCCCCCUCUUCUUCUUUUUCGCUUUUUCAACAGUGGGAAAUGUGGCUCUUGUUAUGUACACUUUAUUCACUUAUUUGUUUAACCCUAGUAUCCUAAAGUAGUUCCGUAUGCCUGUAACAGAUUGACUAACUAGAGUUCAUUAUUUGUGGACAGAUCUUUUUGUCCGAAGCCUUACAGCAGGGGUGUCCAAUCUUUUGGCUUCCCUGGGCCACACUAGAAAAAGAAGAAUUGUCUUGGGCCACACAUAAAAUACACUAACACUAACGGUAGCUGAUAAACUAAAAAAAGAAAAAAUCACAAAAAAAAGUUCAUGAUGUUUUAAGAAAGUUUACUAAUUUGUGUUGGGCCAUGUUUAAAGCCAUCCCGGGCUGCAGGUUGGACAAGUUUGCCUUACAGUAUCCAGUCAAAAUAGUGUUUUCCAAAAUUAUUUUCUUCUUCAUCCCUUUCAGUGUGGCCAUUAUUUAUAAUGCAGUUGGGUUCAUUAGUGUUUGUAUUCCAAAUACACCCUCAGCCUUCAUAUCCUAGUUUUAGUGAAUU
rnacentral:lncRNA from 1 species